GAGGGCGUAGCUUAGUUGGUUAGAGUAUUGGCUUGUCACGCCAAAGGUCGCGGGUUCGAUUCCCGUCGUUCUCG
rnacentral:tRNA from 1 species